rnacentral:rRNA from 1 species
GUGCCAGCAGCCGCGGUAAGACGAACCGUGCGAACGUUGUUCGGAAUCACUGGGCUUAAAGGGUGCGUAGGCGGGCUGUCAAGUCUGGGGUGAAAUCCCGCGGCUCAACCGUGGAACUGCCUCAGAUACUGAUGGCCUCGAGGGGGGUAGGGGCAUGCGGAACUGUAGGUGGAGCGGUGAAAUGCGUUGAUAUCUACAGGAACUCCGGUGGCGAAAGCGGCGUGCUGGACCCCUUCUGACGCUGAGGCACGAAAGCUAGGGGAGCAAACGGGAUUAGAUACCCCGGUAGUCC